rnacentral:rRNA from 1 species
CAGUCGCCGCGGGAAUACGUAGGUGGCAAGCGUUGUCCGGAAUUAUCGGGCGUAAAGCGCGCGCAGGCGGAUCAGUCAGUCUGUCUUAAAAGUUCGGGGCUUAACCCCGUGAUGGGAUGGAAACUGCUGAUCUAGAGUAUCGGAGAGGAAAGUGGAAUUCCUAGUGUAGCGGUGAAAUGCGUAGAUAUUAGGAAGAACACCAGUGGCGAAGGCGACUUUCUGGACGAAAACUGACGCUGAGGCGCGAAAGCCAGGGGAGCGAACAGGAUUAGAUACCCCUGUAGUCCCUGUCUCUUAUACA